rnacentral:rRNA from 1 species
CACCACGCUGAAAAGACCUGUCAAAGGACCCCUAAACUCUGUUUUUACAACUGUAUCUCUGAGUCUAUUAUACAAAUAAGUUAAAACUUUCAACAACGGAUCUCUUGGCUCUGGCAUCGAUGAAGAACGCAGCGAAAUGCGAUAAGUAAUGUGAAUUGCAGAAUUCAGUGAAUCAUCGAAUCUUUGAACGCACAUUGCGCCUGAUAGUAUUCUGUCAGGCAUGCCUGUUCGAGCGUCAUUUCAACCCCCAAGCCCUAUUUGCUUGACGUUGGGAGUUUACGGAGACGUAAUUCCUCAAAUAUAGUGGCGGAGCUAGGUCGUGCUCUAAGCGUAGUAACCACAAUUCUCGCUUCUGCAGCCGGCUUAGGUCCUGCCGUAAAACCCCUAUAUUUUUUUAUUGGUUGACCUCGGAUCAGGUAGGAAUACCCGCUGAACUUAAGCAUAUCAAUAAGCGGAGGAAAAGAAACCAACAGGGAUUGCCCUAGUAACGGCGAGUGAAGCGGCAACAGCUCAAAUUUGAAAUCUGGCCCUCGGGUCCGAGUUGUAAUUUGCAGAGGAUGCUUUUGGCGCGGUGCCUUCCGAGUUCCCUGGAACGGGACGCCUUAGAGGGUGAGAGCCCCGUACGGUUGGACACCAAGCCUCUGUAAAGCUCCUUCGACGAGUCGAGUAGUUUGGGAAUGCUGCUCUAAAUGGGAGGUAAAUUUCUUCUAAAGCUAAAUACCGGCCAGAGACCGAUAGCGCACAAGUAGAGUGAUCGAAAGAUGAAAAGCACUUUGAAAAGAGGGUUAAAUAGCACGUGAAAUUGUUGAAAGGGAAGCGUUUACGGCCAGACCUUUUCCUGGCGGAUCAUCUGGUGUUCUCACCAGUGCACUCCGCCAGGUUUAGGCCAGCAUCGGCUCCCGUAGGGGGAUAAAAGCAGUGGGAAA